rnacentral:rRNA from 1 species
UACGUAAGUUGCGAGCGUUGUCCGGAAUUACUGGGCGUAAAGGACGCGUAGGCGGUCUGAUAAGUCAGCAGUGAAAUCUCUAGGCUCAACCUGGAAACUGCUGUUGAAACUGUCAGACUAGAGUACCGGAGGGGAAAGCAGAAUUUCAUGUGUAGCGGUGAAAUGCGUAGAGAUGUGAGAGAAUGCCAGCGGCGAAAGCGGCUUUCUGGACGGUAACUGACGCUGAGGCGUGAAAGCGUGGGUAGCAAACAGG